rnacentral:rRNA from 1 species
UACGUAGGGUGCAAGCGUUGUCCGGAAUUAUUGGGCGUAAAGAGCUCGUAGGCGGCUUGUCGCGUCGGCUGUGAAAACCUGGGGCUCAACCCCGGGCCUGCAGCCGAUACGGGCAAGCUAGAAUUCGGUAGGGGAGACUGGAAUUCCUGGUGUAGCGGUGAAAUGCGCAGAUAUCGGGAAGAACACCCGUGGCGAAGGCGGUUCUCUGGGACGGUACUGACGCUGAGACGCGAAAGCGUGGGGAGCGAACAGG